CGGGGCGUAGCUCAGCCUGGUAGAGCGUCGGCUUUGGGAGCCGAAAGCCGGAGGUUCGAAUCCUCUCGCCCCGA
rnacentral:tRNA from 1 species